rnacentral:rRNA from 1 species
CACGCGUACCCAUCCCGAACACGACCGUUAAGCCCUCCAGCGCCGAUGGUACUUGGACCGCAGGGUCCUGGGAGAGUAGGACGCCGCCAGGC